rnacentral:rRNA from 1 species
AUUGAACGCUGGCGGCGUGCCUAAUACAUGCAAGUCGAGCGAAUCGAUGGGAGCUUGCUCCCUGAGAUUAGCGGCGGACGGGUGAGUAACACGUGGGUAACCUGCCUGUAAGACUGGGACAACUUCGGGAAACCGGAGCUAAUACCGGAUACUUUCUUUUCUCGCAUGAGGGAAGAUGGAAAGAUGGUUCUGCUAUCACUUACAGAUGGACCCGCGGCGCAUUAGCUAGUUGGUGAGGUAACGGCUCACCAAGGCAACGAUGCGUAGCCGACCUGAGAGGGUGAUCGGCCACACUGGGACUGAGACACGGCCCAGACUCCUACGGGAGGCAGCAGUAGGGAAUCUUCCGCAAUGGACGAAAGUCUGACGGAGCAACGCCGCGUGAGCGAAGAAGGCCUUCGGGUCGUAAAGCUCUGUUGUUAGGGAAGAACAAGUACGAGAGUAACUGCUCGUACCUUGACGGUACCUAACCAGAAAGCCACGGCUAACUACGUGCCAGCAGCCGCGGUAACAC